UUUUUGUAUUUACAUGGCUCAGCAUUUCUGAGUGAACACCGCUGGUUCACUCAAUAUUUUUAAGUGUACUGUCGAUCACGUGAUAUGACGUCAUGACGUGCCAUCCUAACUGACGUUACCUGAAAAAUCUAUCCAAGAUGGCUACCCUCUCGAGCAAUGUGGUGUCUAUGCGUGGUAUCAAGCAUUAAACUUUAAGCUAACCUACACGGCACGAACCGGAAAGAUAUCAGAGGCGCUGCGUGACAUCUUUAAGAUUUAUGAUCUCCAGGAAGUGCAGGAUGUCAAUAUGAAGCGUACUGUAGCCCUUCGUGCCCUCCCGGUAUACAUGCGUGAGGAGGACCCACAGUUCUUCAAGACUUGUAAUGUGGAGGAGUCAGAUGAGCCAUGCAUCGACACUCCUGUUGCUCUUGUCACAGUCACAGAGGACACUGCAGAUCCAGUUCAUUUCAGUCCUGCAAGUAUUUCUAUUGUUGUGGAAGACGAUGUUGUGAU